AACGAACGCUGGCGGCAGGCCUAACACAUGCAAGUCGAGCGGACCCUUCGGGGUUAGCGGCGGACGGGUGAGUAACGCGUGGGAAUAUGCCCUUCUCUACGGAAUAGUCCUGGGAAACUGGGGGUAAUACCGUAUACGCCCUUUGGGGGAAAGAUUUAUCGGGGAAGGAUUAGCCCGCGUUGGAUUAGGUAGUUGGUGGGGUAAUGGCCUACCAAGCCGACGAUCCAUAGCUGGUUUGAGAGGAUGAUCAGCCACACUGGGACUGAGACACGGCCCAGACUCCUACGGGAGGCAGCAGUGGGGAAUCUUAGACAAUGGGGGCAACCCUGAUCUAGCCAUGACGCGUGAGUGAUGAAGGCCUUAGGGUUGUAAAGCUCUUUCAGCUGGGAAGAUAAUGACGGUACCAGCAGAAGAAGCCCCGGCUAACUCCGUG
rnacentral:rRNA from 1 species